rnacentral:rRNA from 1 species
UCGAGGAUCUUCGGCAAUGGGCGCAAGCCUGACCGAGCGACGCCGCGUGUGCGAUGAAGGCCUUCGGGUUGUAAAGCACUGUCGAGGGGGAGGAAGCCGCAAGGUUGACCUAUCCCUGGAGGAAGCACGGGCUAAGUUCGUGCCAGCAGCCGCGGUAAGACGAACCGUGCGAACGUUGUUCGGAAUCACUGGGCUUAAAGGGCGCGUAGGCGGUUCAUCAAGUCUGGGGUGAAAUCUUUCGGCUUAACCGGAAAAGUGCCUGGGAUACUGAUGAACUGGAGGGAGAUAGGGGCAGCUGGAACUUCCGGUGGAGCGGUGAAAUGCGUUGAUAUCGGAAGGAACUCCGGUGGCGAAAGCGAGCUGCUGGAUCUCUACUGACGCUGAGGCGCGAAAGCCAGGGGAGCAAACGGGAUUAGAUACCCCCGUAGUCC